UUCUAUAUGAACAAGAUAAUGAUACUGAUGUAUCCUUCUAUGAACAAGGUGGUGAUACUGAUGUAUCCUUCUAUGAACAAGGUGGUGAUACUGAUGUAUCCUUCUAUGAACAAGAUAAUGAUACUGAUGUAUCCUUCUAUGAACAAGGUGGUGAUACUGAUGUAUCCUUCUAUGAACAAGGUGGUGAUACUGAUGUAUCCUUCUAUGAACAAGGUGGUGAUACUGAUGUAUCCUUCUAUAUGAACAAGAUAAUGAUACUGAUGUAUCCUUCUAUGAACAAGGUGGUGAUACUGAUGUAUCCUUCUAUGAACAAGAUAAUGAUACUGAUGUAUCCUUCUAUGAACAAGGUGGUGAUACUGAUGUAUCCUUCUAUGAACAAGGUGGUGAUACUGAUGUAUCCUUCUAUGAACAAGGUGGUGAUACUGAUGUAUCCUUCUAUGAACAAGGUGGUGAUACUGAUGUAUCCUUCUAUGAACAAGAUGGUGAUACUGAGGUAUCCUUCUAUGAACAAGGUGGUGAUACUGAUGUAUCCUUCUAUAUGAACAAGGUGGUGAUACUGAUGUAUCCUUCUAUGAACAAGAUGGUAAUACUGAUGUAUCCUUCUAUGAACAAGGUGGUGAUACU